GCGGAGGUGGCGAAACUGGUAGACGCACUACCUUGAGGUGGUAGCGCCUAUAACUGGGCGUGGGAGUUCGAAUCUCCUCUUCCGCA
rnacentral:tRNA from 1 species